GCUGUGUUUAAUUAUUUAUAUGUCAAUACACAAUUGUCAUUAUAAUUUUCAUCGUACAUUUUUUGAAUUUGAAUUUUUUUUAUUUCUUUUAGUUCGGGUUGAUUCAAUGAUAAUUGAUCAAUUUGAUGGAAACUAUUUAGUGGAGAAUGAAAGACAGGAUGAAUAGCGUACGAAUAGAAUGAAAUUAGAAGAUUUUAAAAUAUUAGCAACUAAUUUUAGGUUGGAUUUCUAUUUCAGUAAUAAAAAAGUUUAGAAGCUUUUCUUAAUAAAUUAAUAAAUCAAAUACUUUCUUGGAUUUAUUGAACAUUUAAAGUUGAUGUGGAUGAGAAUUUAAACUUUCCACAUUUUACAAAAACUGAAAUAAUAGUGUCAUACAUAGUAAAGUUCCCGUAAAAGUGACACUCAUCCUAUUCUCAUACAAAAUAAUAAUCCAAUAUAUGUUUUUAUUUUGUAUUUAAAUACUCAAACAGUAUGUGGUAAAUAUGUCCUUGCUAAUGGAAUAAACUAUGUAUAUUGAGGAAUAAAAAAGAAAUUUACUCGAAGCGCGAUUUAAUUUACUGAAACAUAUGAGUGUGGUAUUUUUAAAAAGGAGUAACAAAAACUACCCAAUAUCUGCAAUAAGAAAAAAAAGAAUUAAAAUUAUGAAAUAAAAUCCAAUUAAUAAACAAAGGCGUAUCCAUUAUUUUUGAAAAGUGUACAAAUGCAAAAACACAAGUGGAAGGCUAUACAGUUAAAUUAGGACUUUACCCGUUCUAUAGGAGAUAAAUUAAGUUAUUAAUAAGAAGCAAAUCACUGCGUGGAUAAAUAUCACGAUCAUUUAAACAAAAAAUUUAUUAAAAUUUGAACAACAAUUAACCUUUCUCUAAUACUGUUCAUCACUGAUGUUGUUAUGUAAUUAUAAUAAUAAUAAAAAAAUUUAUUUUGCC